GGGUGGGGGUGCUCAUCCAGUCUGUAAAGGGAUUCAAUAUGAAGUGGCUUACCAGAGGAGGUGGCUUGAGCUGAAUGUUGAAUGGCAAGUGGGGGAAGAGCAUUCAACACAAAGGAAGCAGAAUGUGCCAAGCGAGGUAGAGCUAUCUCCAUUUUACAGAUGAAGCUCAGGGAGGUUAAGUAAUUUGUCCAGAGACACACGGUUGGCUGCCGAGUAAGGAGCUGGCAUUCAAAUCCUGGAAGGAACAGAGAGCUAUGGUCCUUGUGCCACAUCCUCAGGCUCCUGGAAUAGGAACGGAGAGGGACUCGAGGCUGGGGGAGGAUGGCAGAAAUAGGCAUUAAAAAAAAAUCAGCCAGCCCUGGGUUUUGGUCUUAACAUGAACAGCACACCUCUUCCGGAUCUACUUCACACACUCCUGGGCCUGCUCUGGGAAGGGAAGGAGAGCAAAGGCACCUUCGAUGCUGUGGGUGACUCAUCGUGACCCUGGCUUAGUCACAGCCAAGUUACCACAAGCCAGCAGCAGAAGCCAUCCCAGUGUGAAUUCUGGCCCUUUGGGAAAGAGGAGUGCCUGCUCUUCGCUUCUCCAGGAUGGCGGAGCCUUGAGGCAAAGCCUUACCAGGAGGCUGCCUGUGGGCUCUGAAGCCAUUUCUCCAAACCCUCUCUCCGGGACAUAUGGAUAUGACAGAAAACGUACUUUAAAAGAAGAAAAAGGGAAAGGAAGGAAGGAAGGCACAGAGGAAGGAAGGAAACAGAUCAUAAACUGGAUUAUAAGCAAGGAGAUCGACAAGGAGGGAGACCUAGACCCAAGGGGCUACUCGCGUGUGUUCUUUCUUGAGCACAGAGAGGCCAACGAGACAGAGAAAGGCAGAAUGCGUUGUGUGCCUUGCUGCGAGGUGAAUGCCCCUCCCUGCCUCCGUCCUUUAGGAAAGCCUUUGCAGUGAGGCAUCCAAGAGAAGGUGUCACCUUCGUUGUCUCCCUCCUCUCCAAGCUGAGGAAGUCAAGAACAUCUGAAGGAGGCAAGAUGCAACCGUGCCCGUCUUGUCGUCUCCCCCUACUCACCCGUCCCUGGCUCCUCUGAGUCUUCUUCCUCCUCCUCUGACGAGCCUCCGCACUUUGCACUUGCUGUUCCCUCCACUGGCGGCCCACGGUCAGUCCCUCACCUCCUCCAGGUCUGUGCCCCAUGUUGCCCCCUCAGGGAGACCUUCCCUCACCCGCCCAUUUGCAAAGGCGAAUGGUGCAGCCACCUCGGCUUCUCCUCCUUCUCUGCUUUAUUUAUUUUCCUCCUCUAAAACGUAAGCUCUGUAAAAGCAAGGAUUUGGGUGCUUUUUGUUCUUGCUAUAUCCCGAGCGCCUGGCAGAGAGCCUGGCACAUAAUAGACAUUAAGUAAAUACUGGUUGAAUGAAGGAAUGGACAGAGAUUUGGGUGGAGACUCUUGUCCAGGGCCCCGUGUAGCUUCCCACAGUUGGCACGCAACUCCUGGAGGGCACUGGACUUCCUGCAGGACGUGACCUGGGGGUGCAGACCAUUCUUGACUGCCUCGCCAGAGGCCAAGGCUCCUGGGCCGCAUGUGGGUCACGUCUGCGACGUGGCCUUUGCACGCAUCGCAGUUUGCUAGAGAAAGGCGUGUUGCUGGGUUCUAAAGCUGCUAAUUGCACCCAGCACAAUGCUUAUCUUAUCUGUCGGCUUCUUGCAGCCACUGCUACUACUGAUAGAGCGGACAAAUUAUUGUGGUGCUUUUUUUUUUCCCUGUAGUUGGGGGAGUGUCAAAUCUAGGUUGUGCACACAGGAUUGCGUCAAGCCCAAGAUAGUCCCACGUCGCACAGUAUCUCAUUCAUCGGGAACUUCUGCCCCGGAUGAUGAAUCUAAGCUCCUGGGCAGAUAGCUUGACCCCAAAUUAAACUUUUUCUUGCCUUUAACCCCUUCCUUUGCCAUCCCUUCUGCUCACCACGCCUGUCCCACUUGGGAAAACUCUUAGCCAUCUGCCAAGGAGUUCUGGGGAUGCUGCCUGCAACACUCAUUCCCUUUCUUCUGAAGGCACCACUCUGAUGAUCUCUUGGGACACCAUCUGCCCCCGCUCUUGGAC